rnacentral:rRNA from 1 species
GACGAACGCUGGCGGCGUGCUUAACACAUGCAAGUCGAACGGUAAGGCCCUUCGGGGUACACGAGUGGCGAACGGGUGAGUAACACGUGGGUGAUCUGCCCUGCACUUCGGGAUAAGCCUGGGAAACUGGGUCUAAUACCGGAUAGGACCACUGCCUGCAUGGGUGGUGGUGGAAAGCUUUUGCGGUGUGGGAUGGGCCCGCGGCCUAUCAGCUUGUUGGUGGGGUGAUGGCCUACCAAGGCGACGACGGGCAGCCGGCCUGAGAGGGUGAACGGCCAGACUGGGACUGAGAUACGGCACAGACUGCUACGGGAGGCAGCAGUGGGGAAUAUUGCACAAUGGGCGCAAGCCUGAUGCAGCGACGCCGCGUGAGGGAUGACGGCCUUCGGGUUGUAAACCUCUUUCAGCACCGACGAAGCGCAAGUGACGGUAGGUGCAGAAGAAGGACCGGCCAACUACGUGCCAGCCGCCGCGGUAA